UACAGAGGUGCCGAGCGUUAGGCGGAAUCACUGGGCUUAAAGCGUGUGUAGGCGGACGUCUAAGUACCUUGUGAAAUCCCACGGCUCACCCGUGGAACUGCUGGGUAUACUGGGCGUCUUGAGCCACCUAGGGGCCAGCGGAACAAAUGGUGGAGCGGUGAAAUGCGUAGAUAUCAUUUGGAACGCCAACGGUGAAAACAGCUGGCUGGGGUGUGCUGACGCUGGAGACACGAAAGCCAGGGGAGCGAACGGG
rnacentral:rRNA from 1 species